rnacentral:rRNA from 1 species
UACGGAGGAUCCAAGCGUUAUCCGGAUUUAUUGGGUUUAAAGGGUGCGUAGGCGGUUUUAUAAGUUAGAGGUGAAAGCCCGGAGCUCAACUCCGGAACUGCCUCUGAUACUGUAAGGCUAGAGUAUAGUUGCUGUGGGCGGAAUGUGUGGUGUAGCGGUGAAAUGCUUAGAGAUCACACAGAACACCGAUUGCGAAGGCAGCUCACAAAGCUAUUACUGACGCUGAGGCACGAAAGCGUGGGGAGCAAACAGG